AAUCGACGCCGAGUCCCGGGGAGGACACGCCCCCCGCGACCCCGCCCAUCAGCCUGCCCUCCCCCCGCGGCCGCUUCGCAGGCGCCUCCAGCUCCGUCCACCGCCUGAGGGAGUUCUUCUCUUCUUCAGGAAAUUACUCCAGGAAUUGAAUCAUAACAAGAGUUUCACCAGAAGAUCUUAUACAUUUGGGCUGUGGCAGCGGACCAGUUACACCACAGCACUUGGGGUGAAAGUAGUUUGGUUAUCUCCUGGAAGACCAGUUCUGCCUGUACUUAGCAACUGAGCUGUUCCAGCUUUUCCACAGCUUUCCUCUCCUAAGCAGGGUCUGAAGAUGGUGGAUGAAGACUGUGGCUAGCCUUGAUAGAAAACUUACCGCGGAGGCCCACGGAAUUCCAGGGCAAGGAAGUACCCCUUGAGCAGGCUCUGCCAGAUGAGUUCAUCCAGACCCAAGGCCUCGGCACCAUUUGCGUGGGUCUCCAAGAGUCUUUAAUUAAACUCCUCUGUGCUUUACAUCUGCUGCUUCUCCCUCCGAGACCUCAUACCAUCCGCACUCCUCACAGGGAUCUCCUCUUCUUUCAAAGCUCAGUUCAGACCCAGCCCCUCUGAGGCCACUUCCACCUCCCCACACAGCCUUCCCUCCUCCAUGCUCCCUCAGCCUGGAACUUCCCUGGACCUUGUAUUGCUCAGGGUUCAUUUGUCUGCUUCUCCAGCUUGGUUCUGCGAUGGGUUUAGACCCACAUUCUGCUUCUGAAGAGUUUUUGUUCUACUCAGUUCUCUCUUCAAUGCCUAAUAAAGGAAUUGAGUUGUUUGGGGUGAUUCCUUUGGUGUCCUCAAAUUUGAAAAACAAGAUGAUUAAAGAGUGUGUGUGUGUGUGUGUGUGUGUGUGUAAGUAAACAUAUGUGAAAGAGAGUGAGAGAAGCAGACUAGACCUGUGGAAAGAGCAAAGGAUUUAGAGUGAGGCGACGGUCCUGGGUUUGAAUCCUAGCUCUGCACCUUAUAGAUCUGAGGCUUUGACAGUGGGUCCCACUUAACCCUGUUUCCUCUCCAAUAAAAAGUAUGCAUUGUAUGUUAAGCACUCAUGCUUUCUAUGACAUCUCACACUUGUGAGUAUGCUCUCAUGCCUGUGGUAUUCACUUACAUAGGUACCUUUUAUAAAUAGUACAUUUAAUAUAUGUAAGUGUCGCCGUAGCUGUAGUACCCUCAUUAGUAAAUCACAUGGUGACUUUGUCUGGGAGAGAUUAAAGAUGAGUUACUCCAAGAAGGACCAGAGAAGUCAGGCCCUUCUAGCCUUAAAGAAACUUCUCCCCUUCCAGUUGCGUGUGACCCCUAGAUUAGAGGUGGGGUGGAAGGAGGAGGCAUGGCUGCCCCUUCCACUCGCCCUCUCUGCCCAGUCAAGCCCUCCAAGGCACUGCCUUGGCGUAACAGCUCAGUGUGAGCCCAUGGGGCUUAUAUAAGGCCUGCAUGCACAAUGUAAAGAAUGAUGACAUUCUUUUAUUCUUUUUACAUGAUCCAUUUUAACUAAUUUACUUUGGAAUAGGUUUAGUGCAUAGAAAGCGGGAAAUAAUACAGGCCUGGGAACCUAUCUAGUUUUUAAAAUAUUAAUUCUGAGGGACUAAUAACCCCCAGAUAUGGCUAUGACAUUGUUUUCUCCCUGUGCCCUGCUGCCCCACCCUAGGGCCUUUUCCCACUGGUAGUUAAUUACUUUCGUGCAUCAUCACUUUGGAAAGCUCUACAUAAGCAUUUGUUGUUUUAAAAGUUUGGGAAUCUCAACCAUGUCCUUUCUUUGUAAUAGUGGAUACAUUUAUAGAAGGACAUGAAGACUUUUUCGAGUCUUAAAAUUUUAGAUUCUAUAGUGGACAAUUCUGAGCAUGUUUGGGAGAAAUUGCACAAUCCACGACCAGACCAGAAUAUACUGAAAAAAUAAUUUAUUCAAUUGUAAAUCAGGAAUUUUAUUUCUUAAAGGUUUAAGAAUAACUAUUAAUGAGAUUUUGAGUUUGUCCAUUUGGGAUUUAAAUUUAAAGGAAUGAAAAAAA